AAUGGGGGUAGAGAAAAGAAUAAGAAUGAAUAACACUAAAUUUAAUGGUGAUCAAAGCUCCCCGGCAAUGACACCAAAUUUGAUACCACUCAAAUUACUCUAAGGAGUGAAUUACUCUCUCAAAUAAGAGGUUCAGUUUCUGUACUUAGGGAUCGAAUCCACAAGGAGCUAGGGAACCUAUUAAAUCUAGUAAGGUUAUUAAUUCUAGGUGUUUGUUGUUUUAUGGGUUUAAAAGUAAAUAGCAAUCCUAGUUGAGCAAGUCUAUUGCUCGACUAACAGGAUGAUUGGGGGUGUAACAUAUCGGAAGAUAUUAGAUGCAGGAUUUCUAUUCAGGUGUUAGAGAUUAUAAUCCUAUAGAUGCCUAAUAGUUGCAUGCAUGAUAUAUUAGAGCUCAACUCCUUAAUUAUAGUGAUCAGCGAUGGAAAUGUUUCACUGGUUAACUAACUAGAUCUUGGAUCUCAACUGUCGUCUUUUGAUCACAAGAAACUGUCGAUCGAUGUUCCUAUAU
rnacentral:lncRNA from 1 species